UAGUCCACGCCGUAAACGAUGGAUACUAGAUGUUCGGGUUUCGGCCUGAGUGUCUAAGCGAAAGCGAUAAGUAUCCCACCUGGGGAGUACGUUCGCAAGGGUGAAACUCAAAGGAAUUGACGGGGGCCCGCACAAGCGGUGGAGCAUGUGGUUUAAUUCGAUGAUACGCGAGGAACCUUACCUGGGCUAUAAUGCCUCUGCACAUUUCAGAGAUGGAAUUUCCCUUCGGACAUAUUACAAGGUGCUGCAUGGUUGUCGUCAGCUCGUGCCGUGAGGUGUCAGGUUAAGUCCUAUGACGAGCGCAACCCCUGUUGUUAGUUGCCAGCGAGUAAUGUCGGGAACUCUAGCAAGACUGCCGGUGCAAACCGUGAGGAAGGUGGGGAUGACGUCAAAUCAUCACGGCCCUUACGUCCUGGGCUACACACGUGCUACAAUGGCCGGUACAGAGAGCAGCCACGUCGCAAGGCGGAGCGAAUCUAUAAAGCCGGUCACAGUUCGGAUCGGGGU
rnacentral:rRNA from 1 species